CACUGUAAAACCUUGAUAAAUUACCCUUAAAUAUUUACCUAAAUUAGAUAGGAGCAGAUAAGAAAUAUCUCUACCAUCAACUUUCAGAUAUAACCAAAUAAAUGAACAUAUUCAGAAGAAAAAAUGAUUCUAGAAAUCAUUUCACCUGGUUUAUGGGAGUAAGGAAAUUCAAUAAAAUCAUAUUAUUCUUGUUAGAAAUUGUCUUAGUCUAUUUUGUGUUGCUUAUAACAGGAUAACACAGAUUGAGUAACUUAUAAUGAACAGAAAUUUAUUUGGCUUAUGGUUCUGGCAGCUAGGAAGUCCAAGAACAUGGCACCGGCAUCUGCUGAGGGACCUUGUGCAGUGUUAUCCCAUGGCAGAAAGUGGAAAGGCAAGAGAGCACAGAUUGAAAUCUUCAGUGGACACAUUGCCAAGGUGAAUCUCAGGGUCAACUUCUGUGGCCAAUAUCAGGAUAUAUUCCCUUCUUCUGUAUUAUAUUAUUGUCUCUCUUAGCUGUCUCAUAAUUGACAGAUUCUUGCUCUUUUGCCCAGGCUGGAGUGCAGUGGUGCCAUCUUGGCUCACUGGUACCUCUGCCUCCUAAGUUCAAGCGAUCCUCCCACCUCAGCCUCCUGAGCAACUAGCUGGAACUACAGGUGUGCCAGCACACCCAACUAAUUUUUGUAUUUUUUGUAGAGAUGGGGUCUCACUGUGUUCCUCAGGCUGGUCAUGAACAAGAGAGAAUUUACAUUAAAGAAAUUAUUGUAUUGAGUUGGGACAUCUAUUGUCAUUUGUGAUCAUUGCAUGCAUAAGCUAGCCACCAAGUAGAGAAUAUGUAUAAUCUCUUCUAAAUGCAUUAUUGCCUUUAUUUUACCUACCAUGAGCUUGACUAUGAAAAGAAACCUGCUAUGUGACCUUGAGUUAAUAGCUAUCUCACAGGGUUUUGGAAAGAUUAAAUUAGAUACAACCAAGAAACUUGCGAAAACAACCUUUAUCACACCGAACACAUUUUAAUUCCUUUUCUUUACCUUCAGUUUUUAUCACCAACUAAUAAUAAUAAAUUUUUUAAGACUUAUUUUUCUGAAACUUCAUGUAAACCAAUGAACUGAGUUGAUAUGGGAAGCGGCUAUUAUUAACAUUAGUAGUAUAAUUCUCUCUACAUUACUAAUUUUAAUAAUUAUAACUAAUCCUUAUUGAAAAUUUUUUAUGAGCCAGUCAUGGUACAUGCAUCAUCUCAGAAUAAGAUUAUUACAGAGCACCUAUUGUUAUACUGAUUUUACAAAUGAGGAAACUAAAGGUUGUAGACACUAAGGAAUGUGCCCAAGAUUUACAUAGCUCAUAAAGUAUUCUGUCUAUGUAAAUCUAGAGACCAUAUCAUUAAACUUAUAAUGCAUUGUUUUCUGUAGUGCUUAUCCACUAAGCAAUUUUAAAAAUCUGUACUUUAUUGAAAUAUUUGAUCAAAGAUGGUGAAAAUCUCAAGUCACUGGAUAAUAGCAGAGCUUGCACUUUAUUUUGCUAUGAGGCAACAACAAGUAUUUGUUGCUCUUUUCUUCCACCUCUGAACACAAGCAAGUUAAGUUUCUAGAAAAGACUAUGACAAAUAACUAAAUGUGGUCUGGAUCAAUAAAGCAGCUGCUGUAAAACAGCCUUGGGCUCUGGAAUUUCUACUAAACUAUCAACAUAAAAUGUCAGAGUGUUCUUUGAAGGAUGAAAAUCAGACUGAUAUCUGGAAAGAAAUUUUCUUUUUGUAUGUCAGUGAUUGAAUUUGGGUCACUUUCCAAAUUGUUUAAUAAGACAACACAAUGUGAUUACUCAUAUCUCCUGCAAACAAAGCAAUGAUGAUUCACAGAAUUGUGAACGUGUCUUAAGAAAGAAAAACAUCCUAGUUAAGUAACAAUUACAUAUUUACACACUAUAGAAAUUUCUCAGAUAACAGACACUAUUUUUAGGAUUAGUUGUAUUUCUGUGUUUUUGUUUGUUUGUUUGUUUGUUUUUGAGACAGUCUUGCUCUGUUGCCCAGGCUAGAGUACAGUGGCAUGAUCUCAGCUUACUGCAACCUCUGCCUCCCUGGUUCAAGUGAUCCUCCUGCCUCAGCCUCCCAAAUAGCUGGGAUUACAGGUGUGCACCACCAAUCCCAGCUAGUUUUUGUGUUUUUAGUAGAGAUCAGGUUUUGCCAUGUUGCCCAGGCUGGUCUUGAACUCCUGCCCUCAAGUGAUCUGCCUACCUCAGCCUCCCAAAGUGGUGGUAUUACAGGCAUGAGCCACUGCACCUGGCCAGGAUUAGUUGUAUUUCAUCUUUUAAUUUUUGUAUUCUAUACAUACUUUUAGAAACUAUAUUAAAAUAUGAAGAGAAUAUUAUGGUUGUUAAAAAUACCUGAAAUAGUAAGGCCAAUUCUCUCAUUAUAGUAUUUUAGGAGAUAUAAAAAACUGAAACAACAUAGCAAAUAAGUUUGUUUUCUCACUAGAGGGGAACAUGUAAUGGUUGAGAAGCAUGAGCUGAAUUCGUGAUACUGCUGGAUCCCUGUGCUUUGUGAUAGUAACAAAUGAUUUGACUGCCAGAUUCCUCUUCAAGGGUUUGCCUAGAUAUUUCUUAAUGUCUUCUCAAGCUUUAAAUUUUCUGAGACUUUUUCUGGCAUUGUUUUAAUUUUGGUCCAAUUGGAAUAGCAAAAGGAACAUUUUAUAGGGGGGUCUUUCCCUAAAUAAAUUAUAAAAAUUAUUUAAGUUACCUUUUAUAAAGAAAAAAGGAUCCUGGACCAGAAUCACAUAUGUUGCUGCUACAGUAACUGCCAAUGCCCAGGGAAAUGGUAAGAAAAGAGGCAUUGAAGGCAACUAUUACCAUCUUCCAGAGCAUACAGUUUACCACUUCACUUUUAAAAUUUGCUCUUGCAACCUUUCCUUCUCAUUUCUUUUUUUGUGAUAUUAUCAAUCUUAGAGCUUUCAUUA